ACAACUUUCAGCGACAGAUAUCUCGGAUCAGGCACCUAUGAAGGGCGCAGCGAAGCGCGAUAGUCUUUGUGAAUUGCAGAUCUCCGUGAAUCAAUGGCCCCCUGAACGCGCCUUGGGACUUCCUGAGAGUAUGUUUGCUUCAGUGCUU
rnacentral:rRNA from 1 species